rnacentral:misc_RNA from 1 species
AAAACGUUAGUAGAGUGCACUACUAUGCGCUAUGCGCUCUAAUGGGAAUUUGAAAUUUAGGAGAGAGAUCGCACGCGUCCUCCUUCACUUACGCAAAAUCUUUUGCAGGAACAAUACGUACAAGUUUCUCAGGAAAAAAUCAAGGAUUCCACGCGUUAGCUACACCACGCCUCCGCACUGACGUGACAAGAUGGAUCUCUCGUAAAUUUGCAAUUAUCAAUUUUAUUAACAAUACAUAUCCUGGAUCGUACGAAGCACUGGCAAAAAGAAGCUGGUGGAGAAACAAAAAGAAAACACACACGCGGGAUGAAUGACGAGCCGGCGUUAAGCCGACCAAGUUAAAGUAGUAAUCCGGUGCAUCUCGCGGUGGCGACUGGUGUCGCGCAGCAUCCUGCAAAGGCAUGUCACUCCUCGAGUCUCUGGUCCUCUCGACCGUUCUUCUCGUCUGGUCAGUUUACGCUCUCCCGGAAGACGCGUUGGGCGACAAUGCAUCGCAGGCGUCGAUCAUCGAAACGGUGUUGGAGCGCGAACCGGCAACCUUCAAACUGUACACCAGAGAGAACCCGUUCGGCGAGGAGCAAUUAUUCCUGAACGACACCGAGGUAUUGUAUGCGUCGCACUUCAACGAGAGCAGGCCGACCAAGUUCAUCGUUCAUGGAUUUAGCGACAGCGGAAACGAGGGCUGGAUACGAGAUCUAAUAGAUGCGUAUCUGCUUUAUCAGGAUGUGAACGUGAUAGUAGUCAGUUGGGGAAUUCUGGCGGCUGACGACUAUCCGGUGGCGGCUAAGAAUACGCGCGUCGUCGGUGAAUAUUUCGGCAAAUUCCUCGAGUUCUUAAAUCGGGACUCGAACCUGGAGUACAAGGACGUGCACAUCAGCGGUCACAGUCUGGGUUGCUACGUCGCAGGCUUCGCCGGAGCUUAUCACGACGGACGUAUCGGCAGAAUAACAGGACUAGAUCCCGCGAGUCCCCUGUUCGAAACUAUCUCCGGUGUCGUGGACCCGGAAUACCGAUUGGAUCCAACUGAUGCACAAUUCGUCGACGUUAUCCAUACCAGCGGUCCGGCAUUCGGGUUCCUCGCGCCGUUGGGACACGCUGAUUUCUACCCCAACGAUGGGAAGAUCCCCCAACCUGGAUGCUCCUUCUUCCCAACCAUAACUUAUUGCAGUCAUUCGCGAGCGCAUCAGCUCAUGACCGAGAGCAUUGGCAGUACGGUGGGCUUCAAGGCGAAAAUGUGCGAGAGCUGGGGAAAGUACAAGGAGCGACUGUGCGAUUACAAUCCGGUCGUUUUGAUGGGCGAAUACGCCUCUACGUCAUUACGUGGGAAAUUUUACCUGUCGACCAACGACGCUCCACCGUUUGCACUACAGUAAGCGUUGAAAGUAUCGAUCUCGGAUCUUUGAGAAUUCGUGAAUUCAUGAUUACGACUCGAUUAGCGAGAUUCCUAAAUUCGAUCAUACCAAUAAAAAAGCAAAUCCUCAACUUUACUUCUGAGCCUCGAAAAUUGUGCCAAUCUCGAAAGAACGUUCACUGAAUAUCGCAAGAGAAACGAAAAGUGCAGUAAGCGAUACGAUUGGAAGUUAUAUAUGAGAUAAAUAAAUGAAUAUGCCGAUCGAA